AGUUUGAUCAUGGCUCAGAUUGAACGCUGGCGGCAANGCCUAACACAUGCAAGUCGAGCGGCAGCACAAGUGAGUUUACUUAUGAGGUGGCGAGCGGCGGACGGGUGAGUAAUGCCUAGGGAUCUGCCCAGUCGAGGGGGAUAACAGUUGGAAACGACUGCUAAUACCGCAUACGCCCUACGGGGGAAAGGAGGGGACCUUCGGGCCUUCCGCGAUUGGAUGAACCUAGGUGGGAUUAGCUAGUUGGUGAGGUAAUGGCUCACCAAGGCGACGAUCCCUAGCUGUUCUGAGAGGAUGAUCAGCCACACUGGGACUGAGACACGGCCCAGACUCCUACGGGAGGC
rnacentral:rRNA from 1 species